CGGGGUGUAGUUUAACGGUAGAAUGGGCGCAUGGGGUGCGUCCGGCGGCAGUUCAAUUCUGCCCACCCCGACCA
rnacentral:tRNA from 2 species